rnacentral:rRNA from 1 species
CGGGCCCUACGGGAGGCAGCAGUGGGGGAUAUUGCACAAUGGGGGGAACCCUGAUGCAGCGACGCCGCGUGGGUGAAGAAGCGCCUCGGCGCGUAAAGCCCUGUCAGUAGGGAAGAAAAUGACGGUACCUGAAGAAGAAGCCCCGGCUAACUACGUGCCAGCAGCCGCGGUAAUACGUAGGGGGCAAGCGUUAUCCGGAUUUACUGGGUGUAAAGGGGGCGCAGACGGCGAUGCAAGCCAUGAGUGAAAGCCC